rnacentral:tRNA from 1 species
UUCCCUGUGGCUCAGUUGGUAGAGCAUGGUGUUUCCAACACGAGGGUUGUGGGUUUGAUUCCCACGGGGGACC